rnacentral:rRNA from 1 species
ACGACGCUGGCGGCGUGCCUAACACAUGCAAGUCGAACGGGGAUAGAUAGCUUGCUAUUUAUUCUAGUGGCGCACGGGUGAGUAACGCGUAGAUAAUCUGCCUUGGACUCUGGGAUAACAUUUCGAAAGGGGUGCUAAUACCGGAUAAGCCCACGGGGACGUAAGUUCUUGCGGGAAAAGGGGGCCUCUGCAUAUGCUCUUGAUCCAAGAUGAGUCUGCGUACCAUUAGCUAGUUGGUAGGGUAAGAGCCUACCAAGGCGACGAUGGUUAGCUGGUCUGAGAGGAUGAUCAGCCACACUGGAACUGAGACACGGUCCAGACUCCUACGGGAGGCAGCAGUGGGGAAUUUUGCGCAAUGGGGGAAACCCUGACGCAGCAACGCCGCGUGAGUGAUGAAGGCUUUCGGGUCGUAAAGCUCUGUCUAGAGGGAAGAAAUGAUAUUGGGUUAAUACCCUGAUUUCUUGACGGUACCUCUGAAGGAAGCACCGGCUAACUCCGUGCCAGCAGCCGCGGUAAUACGGAGGGUGCAAGCGUUGUUCGGAAUUAUUGGGCGUAAAGCGCGUGUAGGCGGUUUGUUAAGUCUGAUGUGAAAGCCCCGGGCUCAACCUGGGAAGUGCAUUGGAAACUGUCAGACUUGAAUACGGGAGAGGGUAGUGGAAUUCCUAGUGUAGGAGUGAAAUCCGUAGAUAUUAGGAGGAACACCGGUGGCGAAGGCGGCUACCUGGACCGAUAUUGACGCUGAGACGCGAAAGCGUGGGUAGCAAACAGGAUUAGAUACCCUGG